rnacentral:rRNA from 1 species
CGGAUUNAAGGCUGAAAUUCGCCUUCAUGAAGCCGGAAUUGCUAGUAAUGGCAGGUCAGCAUACUGCCGUGAAUACGUUCCCGGGCCUUGUACACACCGCCCGUCACACCAUGAGAGUUGGGAAUACCCGAAGCCUGUGAGCUAACGAAAGAGGCAGCAGUCGAAGGUAGAAUCAAUGAUUGGGGUGAAGUCGUAACAAGGUACC